rnacentral:snRNA from 1 species
AACUUUGUGCGGUGGCAGUAUCAUAGCCAAUGAGGUUUAUCUGAGGCACAAUUAUUGCUAGUUGAAAACUUCUCCUAAAUCCCUGGUACAAUAAAAUGAUGACAUGAUGAUGU